rnacentral:rRNA from 1 species
CAGCAGCAGCCGCGGUAAUACAGAGGGUGCGAGCGUUAAUCGGAUUUACUGGGCGUAAAGCGUGCGUAGGCGGCUUUUUAAGUCGGAUGUGAAAUCCCUGAGCUUAACUUAGGAAUUGCAUUCGAUACUGGGAAGCUAGAGUAUGGGAGAGGAUGGUAGAAUUCCAGGUGUAGCGGUGAAAUGCGUAGAGAUCUGGAGGAAUACCGAUGGCGAAGGCAGCCAUCUGGCCUAAUACUGACGCUGAGGUACGAAAGCAUGGGGAGCAAACAGGAUUAGAUACCCCAGUAGUCCCUGUCUCUUAUAC